GAUGAAGAACGUAGCGAAAUGCGAUAAGUAAUGUGAAUUGCAGAAUUCAGUGAAUCAUCGAAUCUUUGAACGCACAUUGCGCCCCUUGGUAUUCCGAGGGGCAUGCCUGUUCGAGCGUCAUUAUAACCCCUCAAGCUCAGCUUGGUGUUGGGGCCUGCCGCACGGGCAGCCCUUAAAAUCAGUGGCGGUGCCAUCUGGCUCUAAGCGUAGUAAUUCUUCUCGCUAUAGAGUCCCGGUGGAUGCUUGCCAUUAACCCCCAAUUUUCUAUGGUUGACCUCGGAUCAGGUAGGGAUACCCACUGAACUUAAGCAUAUCAAUAAGCGGAGGA
rnacentral:misc_RNA from 1 species